rnacentral:rRNA from 1 species
AACGAACGCUGGCGGCAUGCCUAACACAUGCAAGUCGAACGAGAUCUUCGGGUCUAGUGGCGCACGGGUGCGUAACGCGUGGGAAUCUGCCCUUUGGUUCGGAAUAACAGUUGGAAACGACUGCUAAUACCGGAUGAUGACGAAAGUCCAAAGAUUUAUCGCCAGAGGAUGAGCCCGCGUAGGAUUAGCUAGUUGGUGUGGUAAAGGCGCACCAAGGCGACGAUCCUUAGCUGGUCUGAGAGGAUGAUCGGCCACGCUGGGACUGAGACACGGCCCAGACUCCUACGGGAGGCAGCAGUGGGGAAUAUUGGACAAUGGGCGAAAGCCUGAUCCAGCAAUGCCGCGUGAGUGAUGAAGGCCUUAGGGUUGUAAAGCUCUUUUACCCGGGACGAUAAUGACAGUACCGGGAGAAUAAGCUCCGGCUAACUCCGUGCCAGCCGCCGCCGUAA